rnacentral:rRNA from 1 species
AUGGCCACCUGCCUCUUAGACUUGAUUAGUGACCAUUCAUUAGACUUUAUUGGGUUGCAGGAAACUAUGAAGAAGAAUUUUACUCCUAAAUGCAUUAGGAGGAUUGACCCCUUUGGUCUGUUCCAUUGGGAAUGGAUACCAUAUGUGGGGAAACCUGGGGGUAUUCUGAGUGGUGUGAGACAUGAUACCUUAGACAUCACAUCCUGCAGUAAAGGCAAAUAUAUAUUGCAACUUGUGGUGCAUGACAAGAGGAAAAAACUGUGGGGUCUGUUGGUAGUGUAUGGGUCUGCUCAUGAGGAGUUUAAAGAGGAAUUCCUGGUGGAGCUUGCUACCAUGUGUAGUAAUAUCAGUGUCCCCUAUAUUGUAGGAGGUGACUUUAAUAUCUUGCGUAAUUGCAAUGUGAAAAAUAAGAAAAUGAAUAGUAGCAGGUCUACUGAUCUCUUUAACUCAAUUAUUAAUGCUCUGGCCCUUAGAGAGAUUUACACCAGUGGGGGCAAGUUCACUUGGACAAACAAUCAGGCCCACCCUAUUCUAGAAAAACUGGACCGGAUAUUGAUGUCUUAAGACUGGGAAAAUCUGUUCCCUUUGGUUUCUGUUAGGAAAUUGGUCCGAGAGUUAUCGGACCACAACCCCCUGCUGCUAUCCAGUGGGGAGGAAGGGAGAGAAGCUCCUGAUAACCCACAAGUAUAG